rnacentral:rRNA from 1 species
UGGGGAAUCUUGCACAAUGGGGGAAACCCUGAUGCAGCGACGCCGCGUGAGCGAUGAAGCCCUUCGGGGUGUAAAGCUCUUUCGACGGGAACGAUAAUGACGGUACCCGGAGAAGAAGCUGCGGCUAACUACGUGCCAGCAGCCGCGGUAAUACGUAGGCAGCAAACGUUGUUCGGAAUUACUGGGCGUAAAGAGUGUGUAGGCGGUUAGGUAAGUUUGGUGUGAAAUCUCCCGGCUUAACUGGGAGGGUGCGCCGAAAACUGCCUGGCUUGAGUACUGGAGAGGAUAGCGGAAUUCCUGGUGUAGCGGUGAAAUGCGUAGAUAUCAGGAGGAACACCUGCGGUGUAGACGGCUAUCUGGACAGUAACUGACGCUGAGACACGAAAGCGUGGGGAGCAAACAGG